CAUCAAAGUUGAAAACGCUUAGGCAAGUCCACAGUGCAGCAACGCCGUUAACAGACAAGUCAUUACCGUUACAAUUAGGUAAAUAUGACGAACCGAUACACAGAAGGUGAGCAAAGUUUGAUUUUGAAGUUGAUUCAGUACUUCCAAGGGGAAAAAGAAGCAGGAAAAACUUUAACACCCGUAAGCGCAGUAUAUGAUGUAAGUGUUUCCUAUGCGUUUGCUAUAAUCAUAUGCUUACUUAAUCACAGAGGGUUUGUGCUGCCCUGGGUGUAUCGUUGUGGACUGUAAAAAGAAUUAGUACAAGAGGUGUUAAAAAAGAUGACGAUUAGGUACAAAUCGCAAAAAAGUGUGGCUAUUAGUUUAUCUCACGGACCUCCGCUGCAUGAAAUACAUGAACAUGUAAUAAGGACACGGAUUUAUGCAAUGUAUGCCACAGGUGAGAAUGUUACACUCCGUUCUUUACACAGUAAUCUUCAACGACUUGAUGGCGUAGAAAUA